AUUUUAAUAGCUUAAAAUUAGAGCGUGACACUGAAGAUGUUAAGGUAAUAAAUUUAUUUAUUUUAAAAUA
rnacentral:tRNA from 1 species